UUCCGGUUGAUCCUGCCGGACCUGACUGCUAUCGGAUUGAUACUAAGCCAUGCGAGUCUUUGUAGUAAUACAAGGCAGACGGCUCAGUAACGCGUAGUCAACCUACCCUAUGGACGGGAAUAAUCUCGGGAAACUGAGCAUAAUACCCGGCGUACCACCAUUCCUGGAAUGGUUGGUGAUUAAAAUGAUUCGUCGCCAUAGGAUGGGACUGCGACCUAUCAGCUUGUUGGUGAGGUAAUGGCCCACCAAGGCGAUUACAGGUACGGGCUCUGAGAGGAGAAGCCCGGAGAUGGGUACUGAGACAAGGACCCAGGCCCUAUGGGGCGCAGCAGGCGAGAAAACUUUGCAAUGUGCGAAAGCACGACAAGGUUAAUCCGAGUGAUUUCUGCUAAAGAAAUCUUUUGUUAGUCAUAAAACCACUGACGAAUAAGGGGUGGGCAAGUUCUGGUGUCAGCCGCCGCGGUAAAACCAGCACCUCAAGUGGUCAGGAGAAUUAUUGGGCCUAAAGCAUCCGUAGCCGGUUCUCUAAGUUUUUGGUUAAAUCUAUGUGCUUAACGCAUAGGCCGCCGAAAAUACUGAAGAGCUAGGGAGUGGGAGAGGUAGACGGUACUUGAUAGGAAGGGGUAAAAUCUUUUGAUCUAUCGAUGACCACCUGUGGCGAAGGCGGUCUACCAGAACACGUUCGACGGUGAGGGAUGAAAGCUGGGGGAGCAAACCGGAUUAGAUACCCGGGUAGUCCCAGCUGUAAACGAUGCAGACUCGAUGAUGCAUUGGCAUAUAGCCAGUGCAGUGUCGCAGGAAGCCGUUAAGUCUGCCGCCUGGAAGUACGUACGCAAGUAUGAAACUUAAAGGAAUUGGCGGGGGAGCACCACAAGGGGUGAAGCCUGCGAUCAAUUGGAGUCAACGCCGGA
rnacentral:rRNA from 1 species